UUGCACAUGAGGGCAAAUCAGUAAUUUUGCCCAACUUUCUCAUUUUCCCCAAUUUAUACCUGCAUCUCUCUUUCUUCCUCUCAAAGAAACCCACACACAAAAAACACACACUCACACUUUCCUCCGGCAGGCCUCUCUAUUCCGGCAACCACAAUAGAUGACGGCGAACUCGGUGAAUCUUGGUCCGACAACCGCACUUUCCUCCCGACCUGCUUUUUGUUAGAAAGAUCUAGUAAAAAGAAAGGUGAAUCUUGUUCUGGCAACCAAAAUUGCUUCUCUUUUGGUCCAUCUUUUUAUGGGGUUGUUUCUUGCAAAAGGAACAUUGAAUCUUGAUAGAAAUCGUGGAUCUCCAGCGAGUUUGAUUGGGUGGGUGAUGAUGGUGGGGUUGCGAUGGUGGGUGGGUGGUGAUGGUGGUGGUGAAAGGAGGUUGUGGUGGUGGAAAGUGGUGGUGGAAACAGGAGGCUACUUCCGGCGUGGUCGCCUCACCUCUCCGGCGUUCCGAACUUGAAUGGCAAGAUGAAGUUUUAAAGAUGAAUCUAAUAUGAUUAUUGUUCAUAUUGUUUGUUGUAGAUUUUGAUAUUAAAUCGGAACUAGUUCAAGUAUCAGUCUUGAUAAACUCCAAAUUUGUAUUAAUUACUUGUUAGAAUUGAAUAUAGACUAUUGCAGUAUUGCCUUGAUUUUGUUAUUGAA